UAUGUAGUCUAUGUGAUACUAGAUUGUAGUUGUUUUUGUUUUUAUUAAAUGUUACGAAGAUAAUGGUUGUUUGCUCAGCACCAAAUUGUUCGAAUAGGUCUAACAAGGGUUUUCGUCUUUUUAAAUUUCCUCGUGAUGACGCAAGAUGUUCUGUUUGUUUACAAAAUUGCAGACGUGAUGGAUGGAAGCCAACGUCUAAUUCAAGGAUUUGUGAAAGGCCAGAGAUCGGAGUUGCUGUCAUGCUGUGCUGCGAAUAGGAGGUGCCUUGGUGUCACUCCCGAAAACGGCUGGUUUUGGGGGGGACUUUGAAAAGUCACUUAACCAAAAAACACCUAUCGCAAGCAAAGACCCAGUAAGCACAUAUGAAGACUUUGAAUUUAAACUUCAGGCAUCCCGAUUAGAAAAUCAAGACAACCUUUCUACUGCAAUCCAAUAUGUUAUACUAAAUACGGUAAAUAUGUAGAGUAGCGGUAUAUGCGAAAAAAAAUGCUAAAAAUCCGAAAAUACUUUUAUUCUAUGCUCUUUCACUUCCUCUUUUCAAAUCAACCGGCGGAGGUAAGAAAUUCCAAAUACUUUAGGAGAUAUCGAAUUUUUUAAUUUUGAACAUGUAGAGUAGCGGUAUUUGCGAAAAAAAAUUCUAAAAAUCUUAAAUUACUUUUAUUAUAUGCUCUUUCACUUCCUCUUUUCAUUAAAACCGGCAGAGAUAAGAAAUUCACAAUACUUUAGGAGAUAUUGAAUUUUUUAAUUUAGCAAUACAACACCUGUACAACCAUUCGAACGACGCCAUUUUUGUUAUUUUGCCGUGUGUUCGUGGAACGUGAAUGCGUAAUAAAUAAAAUGGUCGAUUAGGUCAGGUCAGUUACAUUAUUAAUACUUUCAAACUAAGCGGACAUAAAAAAUAUUGUGAAUUAAUUUUAAUGGCUGUUUAGUUUUAAAAUAGGUAUUUAUAAUGUAACUAACCAGACCAAACAAACCGGGACAAAGGAUAAACAGUAGGAACUAAAAUGGUCGAUUAGGUCAGGUCAGUUACAUUAUGAAUACUUUCAAACUAAGCGUACAUUAAAAAUAAUAUGAUUUAAUUUCAAUGGUUAUUUAGUUUUAAAGUAUUUAUAAUGUAACUGACCUGACCUAUCAAACCCGGACAAAUGAUGAACAUUAACAACUCACGUAAAAAUUUUUUGUUACGUAUUACUUGCGCAACAAUAUCCAAAAAAAAAAUAAGAAUUUAAAAUUAGAAACGUUAAAAGCCCACCUAAGUUGGAGGCGGGUACAUUUCCUUUGCCAUUAGAAGGAAAUGAUGUAGUCGUUCACCUACGUCGUGAUACCUCCGACGGAACAUUAAUAAAUAAAUAAAUAAAUAAUCACGUAUUGGUUCAUUUGAAUACUGGCCAAUCACGGAACUGUCACGUGACAAAAUUGUCCAAUAAGAAACAUAAUAGAUACACGUAAACAAGAAACAAUGGUAAUCGCAGCAUGAAUACGCAGGUAUUGUGAUAAAAAUUAAAAAAUUCGAUAUCUCCUAAAGUAUUUGGAAUUUUUAAUCUCCGCCGGUUGAUUUGAAAAGAGGAAGUGAAAGAGCAUAGAAUAAAAGUAUUUUCGGAUUUUUAGAAUUUUUUUCGCAUAUACCGCGACUCUAGAUAUUUACCCUAAAUACAACUGAUUCUGAACCCAACAUUUUACUACCACAUUCACAAUAUGUCCUUAAACGAAAACUUAGAAGCAACAACCUGCCAGUCAAAAUAAACAAACUAAAAGACCUAAUCAACAAAUCCGGACAACUUCGAGGAAUCGAAAAUAUAAAUUGGCAAAACAAAACCAAAUACUUAACAUAGAAAUAUGGGGCAGAAUAACACUAUAAUACAACACAACAACAAAGAAAUGGGAAGAAACAAUUACAAAAAACUGAAAAUAAAAACUUUUUUUAUGAUGAUCGGUGGGCAUUAAAACACAUAGGUAGAAGAAGAAGAAGGAAACACACCACAACCCCCCCCCCCCCCCUUCCCAGCCAGGCGCCACUAGGGAGCGAGCCUGCUGCACAGUUCAAUAGUUUUAGAUAGUUAUAGUAGUAGUGGUAGAGUAGAGGUGUAGAGCAGAGUAGCAAAGUAGAGAAGAGAGGAAGUUUCGCCGUUUGCACUGAGUUCACGAAUUUCACGAACACCACCCAAAAGUACACCAGAAGGAAGAGAGAAGAGAGGAGGAGGAGAAGCCAGAAGAGAGAAGAAAUUAGCUGAGGAGAGAAUGGAAACCCAAGAAGAGCAGAAGAGGAAAAGAUUAGAAGGGGUAUCGGGGACCUGUGCUGUGGGUGAUGGAAACGGGACACCAGAAAGUGCAUGUGAAGAAGAUUCGUCGGACCUGGUAUUCGUUAGCGAAGACAUGGUGAAGAGAAGCGCCAAAUGAGGUGCAGAGGGAAAGCAGAUUACGAAUUGCCGAGGGUGAACUGGAGAACCGCGAUUUUGCCCGCUAAGUCACGCUGACAUCCAGGUUUGACCCAGUGGGGCAUCGAAUCCAGAUUGGCAUUGCGGGAGGCUGAGCAGAAAGAGCGAUGAUGCUGCGUGCGAGAUGAGGAUUGGAAACCUGCCUGAAAGUCGUCCGCACACCGGAACAGCCGGCUGAGCUGUUGCAUGCCUGCAGGGUGACACCCUCGCAGGCACGUUUGUUCCUCUAGCCUGCUUUCGAACUGCUUGCGUACUGCGGUGUUUGGACUUGUCCGUGCUUUGAAAGUGCCAGUCUUCUGUCCUGGAGUAGCCGAGGGCUUCAGACGUACCUGACGUGGCGUGAUGUUCCAGCCGUUGUCUUCAACUGCGAUGAACGUGAAGAGGAGCCUUGGAAGACACAGCUCAAUAGCUUCUUCCAUUUCAAAUGCCAAAUAUGUGACUGACUUACUGACCUUUUUUUAUUUAUUUAUUUAUUUAUUUAUUUUUUUAAUUUAAAUGUAUGCAUCUGGCUACACACUAGGUAUAGAAUUCUUACUGGGGAGCAUGUUGGGUGUCAGAAACCAAACAUUCUGUCGGGUGUGAAAGAAAUUUUGCAUGGCGGGGUGUGCUUGACUUUUAAAAGUAACUUUUUGCAACGAAUCGUACACACAAGACAUACAUAAUACGCUUCACCAAGGAAAGCAAUAGUUCAUUUACGGUAUGGGAAAUAGGUAGUAGUUUUCAGGCAAGGAAUGGCAUUAUUUUGCAUGCAAAAUGGAAUGAAAUUAACACAGAAAGUUCAGUGGUUCGACCUGACGGACAGAUUUUUUCCUUGUAAUGCAUUUCUCGCUGAGAAGUGAUCCUUCAUUGGUAAAAUAUGUGAAUGAUAGUUUCCAAAGAAAUUUGUUUGUUGAUCACAGUAGAGAUUAUACUGACGAGCAGUCCUUUUGUGGUGAAAAAUGUGGAUAGUCGUUUGCGAGUGUUUCUUGGCUUUGGAAACUAGGUCUUAUUGCAGGCAUAUGAUCACGCAACAGGUAGAGAGAGUUACAAAAUAUGCACAAAGUGUUUAGAAAAAUAUUAUGUUCUUGAGCACAGUAAAUUUCUUGCAGGAGAAUUUUCCUUAGCUGUCACCAUCUCUAUAAGUUAAUGCAUUCAUUCUUCAUGCUAGAACUCACAUGGUAUAAUGUUCUUUCAUUUGUGAGAUAUGUGGAUGAUUGUUUUCUCAAAGUAGUUCCUUUUAUUGUUUAAAACAUUAUUCCAACGGGCAAACACUCUUUUCAGCCGUGAAUAAUCAAGACAUUGAGGAAGACAGGAAAGUUGUAAUUAUUCUCACUUGUCACAGAAAAUCUUAGGAUCUCUUUAAGUAGUUAUUUCAGCCUACUUUUUACUAUGUACAAUUUCAUGUUUUUAAAAUCUACUUUGUUUAUGUUAAUGAAAGAGUUUGAUACAUAAAAACAUUUUAUUUUAAUUUGCAAGUAGUGUUUUCUCUAUGUUAGUUCUGUCCUUAUUCUGAGGUAACUAUGUAUACAAAUAUUUUUGUGGAACAAAAACUUUGUUUGGUGUCUUUGAAUAUUUUAAAGAUUAUUCAGUGCUGAGUGUUGUAAAGUAGUGAUGGGCCAGUCAAAUCCUAAAAUCCUUAGUAUUCGAAGGAUUUGAUGUUCGAGGAGAAAGAUUCAAAGAAAAAUAUCCUGUUACCAUUCCCCAAUGUAUUGUACUUAUAACAUGUGUUUAUAUGAAUAAAUUUACAAUAUUUGUUGAUUCUGGAAACUUAGUUUGUGAAACAAACAUUUAAAGAGUACCAUAGUUAAUGUUUUUUUUCAUUUAUUGUACAUUAUUUUGUUUUCGACACUUGACUCCUAGAUUCGUAUUUGAGAAAAUUGUGAUUUGGCCCAUCCCUAUUAUAAAGUUAAAUAAAUAUUUUGGUAAUGCAUUUAAAAGAAAAAUAAUAGUCCAAAUUUAUGGUAAUAUAAAAUAAAAUAUAUGUAUCAAUAUUGAAUCAAUUGAAUUAGUUUUUUAGAUCAUGUAAUAAAAUGAUAAUGUAAAGAGUCUUGCAUAUGAUAAAACAAAUGAAGCAUAACUUACAAGAAUGUUGAUAAAGAUAAGUUAUUUACUAUUUUAUUUAAUUCUAUAAUAUAAAUGUCAUAAGUGUCAAUUAACCACCAUUAGUGCCUAAUAUUGAAAACUAUAGAAAAUGUUUAGCCCAUCUUGGGGCAAUAACUCAAGAAUUGUUAGCUAACUGCUAUUUUUUUUUUUUAUUGUAAUAAAUUUGCUAUAUGUAGUAAAUUUUAAACAAAUGCAGUUCAAAUACUUUCUGUGUAUUGUCAUCUAUUGUACAAAUGUAACAAUAAUACAAUAAUCUAUAUUUGAUCUUAGUUUAAUUUUUGUGUACUAUUUGUUGACAGUUAAAAAAACUGCCAAAAGUAGAUGUCAAAUUAUUCAGUACACCAUGUACUUUUCUUAAUUUUUGAAAAACAAAAACAUAGCGAAUUGUAUGGUUUUCCAUGUAGCUUAUGAGCAUAAAUGUUUGAAAUAGGUGCUGGGAAAAUUAGCAUUUUUAAUGCAACUUAUUUAAAAUUUAAUAUAAGUGGAUGAAAACUAAAUAUUCAUAUACACAAAAGCCUAAAAAUAAAAUUCCAUUUCAGUUAUGUACAAAAUACAAUUUGUUCAUGCCUUUCCACCUUAAAACCACAAAAAUAAUUCAAUUCUUAUUUUUCUUUUCUUUUAAAAAAAGGCCAAUUCUUUUCUGUCAACAAUUUUGAAAACUUAAAAAAAUGUGUAGCACCUAAGUGUCAUUUUAUAAAGGUUGUUUUAUAAAUCAAUGACAUUUUACUGAUUUAGCUGAGGAAAGGCAAUAAUUUAGAAAAUUGGCUAAAAUAGCAUUUAAAGUGUAAAUUAAAAAAAAAAAAUGCUAAUUUUUCCUUCCCCUAGAAAUAGUCUUUGCACGGUUUGGUCGAUAUAUCGAAGGAAGCGAGCAAGUCAACUAUACUACGGUGUAGUGUUUUUUUUUUUUAAGGGAUUACCACAAUGCAAUUCAUUUUUGUUGUUAUAAUUUUUAUUUCGAAUGUUUCUUUUAUUAAGUAAUUUGAUUUUUUAUGUUAACUCAGGCACCAAAAAAAAAUUAAAAAAAUAUUUAAAACAUUUACAGUGUUCUGCAUAUUUAUUAAAAAUCCUUGCCUCUUCACAUGACACUUUUUAGCUCAAAAAUUAUAAUUUGGAAUGGCCACCAUCCAAACGGAAUGAAGGAGCAAGCAACCAGGAUAACCAGCUCAUGAGCUACCUCCUACACGGCAUCUAGCGUGGAUGAUCCUGUUCGUCGAUCCAAAAAAUGUGUUCGCAGUUUUACUGCUCUGUAUCAGUAAAUGUGUAUGUUGAUGUUGCUGUGUGCCUAAAAGCAUGUGAACUGUAUGUCAAUGAGUGAUCCAUCCUUGUGACAGCAGAAUAAAGUAUUUUCUAACUUUCACAA